AGCCUGGGCGACAGAGUGAGACUCUGUCUCAAAAAAAAAAAAAAAAAAAGAAAGAAAAAGAAAAUGAGAUAACUUACUUCCUCAAUUUUCCCCCUCCCAGCAACCCUCAAAUUUCUAUUUUAAUUGAUUUAAAAUUACUAUCUAGUGUAUUAGUAAAUUUUUUCACACUUCGUUAGUGAAAAAAAAAAGAAUUUUAAAAAACCAACCUGAAAUAUUAGACUUUUUACCUGUAACUGGGUCUGAACAAUCUAGUUCUCAUAAAGCAGAAAAAACCGAAACUUGUGGAAGCAAGCAGCUUAUUAUCAUGAAGAAGACUUCAGCCUUCCAGUUUCUGGAUGAAACUAGGGGCAGUAAUAUUAGAAACCCGAGUGGACCCUUUGCCUGAGAAACAUGUUCAUCUCUUAGUAAUUUGGACUAGAGAGCAUGCAAAAUAUGCAUCAAUAUAAAAUCAACUAACACAGAUUCCAGGGUCACAAGCCCAAAUAACAGUAAGAUCUGUAAAUAUCAAGGAAAACGUAGAUUUAAAAUUUCAGAUCAGAUUCAUUCCUCCACUCACAGCUUAUACAUAUUGUGGUCAGAAGCUGGAAGUAAGCCUAUGCUCUAAUUAACUCUGCUCUGGGAGGCGAGGCUCUCACGAGAGAGAGGAGAGAGAUGGGGGUGGGGGGUGGAGAGGAUUGGGAGCACUUCAGAGAAAAGAUCUGAGAGAAAAGCCUGGGACUCUGCCACCCAGCUCCCUGGCCCCUGGGAGAAGCCAUGGCAGAUAUUUGGGAUGAGGCAGCAUGCUGGUCCCUCAGCAGCAUCCUUAUCACGUCAGCUGUGAGAGAAAUAAAACUGUGAGACUGUGAAGUGUAUAAAGGAUUCUACCGCUCUCCCGGGGCUUGGAGACCCACAGAUUGGAGAAAGGGCCAUCCAUGGAGGGCUGGAUGGUGUCCUCACUCUCCCAUCACACAGCUCUUCUGAUGAUGUUUUUGCUUGUCUUUCUGGAAGUUCGCUCUGAUCCAAAAUUACAUCUGCAAGGGGCAGCUGAAGUCCAUCAGUUCUGUGAAGUCUUCUGGGAGUUGCCUCAGCCUAGAGAUCUCUUCCUCCAUUUCUCCAAAUAUUUCAGUUAGCUCUAAAUGAACAAUUAGCAUCUCCUAAUUGUGCAACUAUUUAAUUUUGGUUUCCUCAACCAAGGAGUUAAUCCCUUUCUGAGGGCAGGUACUGUCAACUUCUUUUGAUUUUUCUACACUGCAUGUGGCCAUCCCAGAUAACUCACUAACAAUAAAUUCUUGAUGACAUGACUCUACAUGGUAAGACGGCACUACUCACUUGCCAAGAGCCAAACAGAUAUUUUGGAAUCAUUUCCCAGAUAGUGAUAAAAAAUGGGCACAGACCAUUUGUAAUCUUUCAUCCCAUCUUCCUUUUGACUAGUGUCAUCCCUGUAAACCAUGAGUGAUCAGGAUUACAUCUCUACAUUCAGCAGGAGUAGAAUAGAAUUUCCAUUUGCACACAAAACUGACUCACUGAGAGCAAUUUAGUGAUCUCAGUAGAUGGGCCUGCUGCAUGGAAAGGCAGCCAACAGAUGGGGAGUGUCCCUAUCUUAGCCAGAGGAGGGGAAAGUAUGGGAUUCAAUCUGUUUCUUUAAAAGCUGAAGGAUAAACUGAAGAUGAUGUUCAUAAAAACUGUAUUUCCAUUGUUAAGGAGAAAAAUAGAUAGGUAAGCUCAGCCCUCUUUUGAUAAAAGUUGAACAGAGAGGUGAAAAAGGGAAUCCAUUUGUUUAUGCACUUAUCCUAAAGAGAACAUUGAAAGUCAAGGGGGUAUGUCCAGUGGUUUGCAAAGUGGUGUCUCCAGGGGACAUUUACAGUCAAUGUCAUCUACAGAAAGUUGCUGUCUUUGCUAUAGUGAAGGGCAAAUCAUCUCCCAAUUGCGCUGCUUUUCAAGAUUCCAUGAGGAGCUCUACUCUUGAAAAUUUCUGAAUCAAAAUAGAAUCUUAAGGAGUCUAAUUCUAAAUACAAACUUCAUGUGUAAGAUUCUCGCCAUGGCUGUAUGGCAGGUUUUUAAAGAAAGUAUGAGAAUGGUGUAUUUUAUCCAAGUGCUUGUUGCUGUUUUGCUCACUGGUGUCCUAAGCACCUAGAAAAGUCCUUGGCAGUUUUUAGGUGCACAAUAAGUAUUUAAUUUUAUUAUUCCUAAAUUAUUGGUUCGAUGAUUGGGUGUAUACAAGUGCAUAUGUGGAUAUGUGCAUUUGAAUGGAGAGAAAGAAAAAGUACAUGCUUACUCUCUGUGCUAUAAUGUCUCAAAUAUUAAAUCAUGACAUAUGAUAAUAAUGGUCAUUUUUAAGUUACAAAGUUCUUUCACCAUUCAUUCAUUCAGUUGUUAUUUAUUGGGUGCCAAAUUAUGUACCAGGCAGUGUGGUGGGAUACCAGGGAUACAGACAUGCGCCUGCCUGUAUAUGUUUACAAAUCUAGGUGGAAAAAAUAGGUAAAUAAAUA
rnacentral:lncRNA from 1 species